rnacentral:rRNA from 1 species
GAUGAACGCUGGCGGCGUGCCUAAUACAUGCAAGUCGAGCGAACAGAUGAGGAGCUUGCUCCUCUGACGUUAGCGGCGGACGGGUGAGUAACACGUGGAUAACCUACCUAUAAGACUGGGAUAACUUCGGGAAACCGGAGCUAAUACCGGAUAAUAUAUUGAACCGCAUGGUUCAAUAGUGAAAGACGGUUUUGCUGUCACUUAUAGAUGGAUCCGCGCCGCAUUAGCUAGUUGGUAAGGUAACGGCUUACCAAGGCAACGAUGCGUAGCCGACCUGAGAGGGGGAACGGCCACACUGGAACUGAGACACGGUCCAGACUCCUACGGGAGGCAGCAGUAGGGAAUCUUCCGCAACGGGCGAAAGCCUGACGGAGCAACGCAGCGUGAGUGAUGAAGGUCUUCGGAUCGUAAAACGCUGUUAUUAGGGAAGAACAAAUGUGUAAGUAACUAUGCACGUCUUGACGGUACCUAAUCAGAAAGCCACGGCUAACUACGU